rnacentral:rRNA from 1 species
CCUACGGGAGGCUGCAGUGAGGAAUAUUGGUCAAUGGGCGUAAGCCUGAACCAGCCAAGUCGCGUGUGUGAUGAAGGUUCUAUGGAUCGUAAACAUCUUUUAUAAGGGAAUAAAGUGCGGGACGUAUCCCGUUUUGUAUGUACCUUAUGAGUAAGGAUAGGCUAACUCAGUGCCAGCAGCCGCGGUAAUACGGUGGAUCCGAGCGUUAUCCAGAUUUAUUGGGUUUAGGGGGUGCGUAGGCGGCCUUUUAAGUCAGCGGUGAAAGUCUGUGGCUCAACCAUAGAAUUGCCGUUGAAACUGGGAGGCUUGAGUAUGGUUGAGGCAGGCGGAAUGCGUGGUGUAGCGGUGAAAUGCUUAGAUAUCACGCAGAAUCCCGAUUGCGAAGGCAGCCUGCCAAGCCAUGACUGACGCUGAUGUACGAAAGCGUGGGGAUCAAACAGGAUUAGAUACCCUUGUAGUC